GAAGGAGGGGGACCUCAUGCGGCAGCCUGCUGUGAGUGCUGUGAAUGGGUUCCAAGAUUGGACAAUGCGGACGGCAAAAGCGUAUAUCUCAUGAUGGCAGUUCCUAGACGGCUGCAGGAGCCAGUUAAGGAGCCGAGGUUUCUCCUGUGCCUGCUGGCUUAUCCAAAGCAGUGGGAAUCAAUUCCCUGAAACCCCAUAGCAUGGACAAGGCCAGAUCCCCUGCUACUAAAAUCAGUGAGAGCAACCGCUGGCUCCUCCGGGACGGGACUGAGCCUUCCUGCUGGCUCUUGCUGUGGUGAGACAGGCCGGGAUAGAAACCAGCCAAUGCAGGCCAUGAGCACCACAGCAGCGUGGACUCCGAAGGGUCUCUCCAAGAGAAAUGGAAUCGCUAUCCCAGGACUAGCACUCCUAUACCAGCAUAACUGCCUCAACACGAGGGUGCAUCAUUUUAACUGUACUGGUGGCUCAACCCUUCGAUUCAAUGCCUUGGCUUCUGACUCUGGAAACAUGGUCUUCAGCUUCUGUCACCUUGGCAUAACUCAGGGCUCUCUGUGAGGCUCUUGCUAUGGGAAGGAGCAGCCUGGAAAAGAGUCAAAGCUUUUAAACUUUGUCAAUAUUUUUAAAUUUGUAGAUUCCCCAGUGGCUGUUUUAGACAUGUUCUUACUGUCCAG